rnacentral:rRNA from 1 species
UGGGGAAUAUUGCGCAAUGGGGGAAACCCUGACGCAGCAACGCCGCGUGAGCGAUGAAGGUUUUCGGAUCGUAAAGCUCUGUCUUUGGGGAAGAUAAUGACGGUACCCAAGGAGGAAGCUCCGGCUAACUACGUGCCAGCAGCCGCGGUAAUACGUAGGGAGCAAGCGUUGUCCGGAUUCACUGGGCGUAAAGAGCACGUAGGCGGUUAAUUAAGUCAGGUGUGAAAGUUUUCGGCUCAACCGGAAAAGUGCACUUGAAACUGGAUAACUUGAGUAUCGGAGAGGUAAGCGGAAUUCCUAGUGUAGCGGUGAAAUGCGUAGAGAUUAGGAAGAACACCGGUGGCGAAGGCGGCUUACUGGACGAUAACUGACGCUGAGGUGCGAAAGCGUGGGGAGCGAACAGGAUUAGAUACC